rnacentral:lncRNA from 1 species
GUUCCACCAAAGAAAGAUAAGGAUUGCCUUUAUCACCUCCUCUUCUUUGCCUUUAAUAGCUCCUUUCAGUUCUGCCUGAGAUUCAUUCUGCCUACAGUCUUCUUGUGAGAUGCAUGACAUCACUAGGAAAUGUUAUAUCCAGAGGCAAUUCAUACUUUUUCCACUCUUGUAUUUCUUUCCUCUCCAGCUGUGACCCUUGCAAUUAGGUGAAGGUAGAGCUGCUGGGGGAUCAGGUAGGAGGAUUGAGAAACCCUGUGGAGAAAGCAAGUAAUUAUCCAUGUGUGCCAAAAUGACAAAGGUGAUCAGAGUUCUGAGCACUGAGGAAGAGCAUCUAUCCCUGAUGUCACCUAGCUCUGAUUUCACAUUCUGGCUAUUCCUGUAUUUGCUGUAAUUGGAAGAAACAUGUAACUUUUUCAAUAUUUUCUUGUGAAAGAUGAUCUUGAUGCAGAUACAUCUCAAAAGUUGGAGUGUAUGAUGCCUCUUGAUCAACUGCUGGGACUGCCUUUGUACCUGGAUAUUUACAGUCAGUCUCUAUCCAGGGAAUAUAGCAACAAAAUCUUUCCAUGAGAGGGGCUAC